AACGUAGGGGGACGAGCGUUAUCCGGAUUUACUGGGCGUAAAGCGCAUGUAGGUGGCUUGAAAAGUUGGACGUGAAAGCUCCUGGCUUAACUGGGAGAGGUCGUACAAAACUAGCAAGCUUGAGGUUGGAAGAGGAGAGCAGAAUUCCCGGUGUAGUGGUGGAAUGCGUAGAUAUCGGGGAGGAAUACCAGUGGCGAAAGCGGCUCUCUGGUCAAUACUGACACU
rnacentral:rRNA from 1 species